rnacentral:rRNA from 1 species
UCCCCUUCGGGGGACAGGGUGACAGGUGGUGCAUGGUUGUCGUCAGCUCGUGUCGUGAGAUGUUGGGUUAAGUCCCGCAACGAGCGCAACCCUCGACCUUAGUUGCCAGCAUUCAGUUGGGCACUCUAAGGUGACUGCCGGCUAAAAAGUCGGAGGAAGGUGGGGAUGACGCCAAAUCAUCAUGCCCCUUAUGACCUGGGCUACACACGUGCUACAAUGGGCGGUACAAAGGGUCGCGAACCCGCGAGGGGGAGCCAAUCCCAAAAAGCCGCUCUCAGUUCGGAUUGCAGGCUGCAACUCGCCUGCAUGAAGCCGGAAUCGCUAGUAAUCGCGGAUCAGCAUGCCGCGGUGAAUACGUUCCCGGGCCUU